CUACUACCACUAUAAAAGAAAGAGAGGGGCAGAUCCAAACAAUCACACCCAUCCAUCAUCAAGAUCUAAUGGUCCAUGGUGUCUCUAUGUUUAACACUAGCAAGCCACUAAUCUCCCUAACACAACAAGCCACGCAAUUAAGCCCCGCACACCCCGUUCGACACGCACGCACGCCCCCACCACGAUCUUUCCCACGUCCGCACCUCCUCCUCCCAACGACCAGAGCACGGCCGGGCCUCCGCUGUCGUCCGCUGCUCGCCCAUCCUCCGCCUCCGCCACCAGCCCAUCCUCCUCCGCCUCCUCCGCCGUGGCCGCCCGCCGCCCGCCGCCAACUACUCCUCCUCCCCAUACUGCCCUGGCCAUCCCAACCGUCGUCAUCCACCCACUCCUGACCCACCCUCUCGGCCUCUCCCCCUCCCCUCGAUCCCCCAGAUCCGAUCGAGGCAUGCCCCACCGCCACCCCCACCCACCCGCCGCUGAUCCACCAUCACGCUCGGUAGCGCCGCCCUCCUCCUUCUCUCUGCAGUCCAUGGCCGGCACCGCAGCCUCGUCCCCACAGCUGCUCCGCAGCGCCUCCGACGACCGCGCCCGGAGCGCGACAGUGGCAUCAUUCCGAGCACAUGACGCCACGCUCCGCCGGGGCUCCUUCACCGUCCGCGGCUCCUCCAGGCUCUGCACCUCGCCGACUCCCCCUUCGUCACGGCCUCUCGUCCAUGCUAGAGGCAGCCACGUCCUCGAUGGUUGCUGCUGGAUUCUACCCCUCCAAGUUGCUCGGACGCCUCCCCAACUCUCCAUCCUCCCCAACAAGGUCGCUGCCAUCACCAAAAGCCAGGAUGAAGGCCAGGAAGCCCUACACCAUCACGCCCGGGAGAUCUGGACCGAGCCCGAGCACGACAAGUUCCUCGAGGCGCUGCAGCUGUUUGAUCGUGAUUGGAAAAAGAUAAAAGCAACAUCGGCCACUUGUGGUGGUCCGAAGGCCUCCGGGCGCCGCAGCACCACGCCGUCCUGACGCCGACCCAGUCGCAAACGGCGGCCAUCUCUGGGAACCAGGCUCCCAAAACCGAGUCAAACUCUGACAGCGAGUCAUUGGUCGAGACAGGGGGCGGCCGAUGCAAGCGAAGCGGCGAAUCAUCAGAUACCAGGUUUAUAAGAAGGUAUGCAGAGAUCAAGUCUGGGUCCAGUUAUUAUCAGGAUACAACAUAGAAACCUACACUACCAGUAGUAGUCUGAAUCUAAAGAGGAGUCCGAGUCAGGGUCGACCUGCUUCUGGACUUCCCUCCUUGAAUCCUCCAUUGAAAGCAUAUCGCCUUGGUCAAAUUCGGCCGCCCUCCUCGAUUCCAUUUACCCGCUGCGGCGCCCGACUACUCCACCCACGGAUGCAACCAAAUUCAAAUGCAGUAGGAAUGCACUACUUUUUUCUGGAAUGAAAAGUAGAGAUCUGCAGUGCUGCAUGGUAAUUAUUGGCAAGGCCUCAAUGACAAUAUUUGCUACCAGAUAUAUUCCUACGGGUAGGAGGUGAAUUACAUGGAUGCCAUAGAUAUCAAGUCUCUAUAUGGUUGCCAUAGAUGCUACUAUUACAUGGAUUUAUUACUAUUUUUCAUGUGUUGUUGAAAAUAGAACUCACUCAUUUAUUUGUCUACGGAGGGAGUAGCAUACAGUAAGCUUCAUUUCACCGAGGAGAUCUUCCGUUACAUAGAGUUAUUAAUUUCAAUAUGAAUUCAGAAUUCAGUACCCACACGAAUUUCGUAGAUGCUUUGAUCGAGACGUGCGUUGCACGUGCAUGCUUACUAGUAAGAAAAAAC